GAGGAGGGGAGUACCUCUGCGUUUAGACUAGUGCUGAAAGGCGAGCACAUCUGGCGCGGAGAAGAGACUUCCAGGUUUAGAAAUGAAAGUUCUGGAUUAGGAGAGAAUGGAUGAGAAGGAGAAUUGCGGACAGAAGAAAAUAAUGUCUCCCUGUUUGGCUCUGAAGAAUUGCUUGGAUGAGAAAAUGGUGGGUACUCUAAAAGUGAGCCACAGUUAGAAGCAUUUUGGUCUUCUUCAGAGUUUCCUCGUAAAUUAUAGACAAUUGUUAGGCCUGGUGCCACAUGUGAUGUUUAAAAAGCUGUUCACUAGUUGAAUGGAACCCAUCUUUAGGCAUGUUUUUUACUAAAUAAAAUAUAUGUUUGAAUAAUAAUUUGCCAUGCUUAACAUAUAAUCUUCUUUUGAAUUCUAGCUGGAAAGUUGGAAUUAACUUCGAAUAGCUUCACAUUAAUGGACAAAUUGCUAUUUUUUAA